rnacentral:rRNA from 1 species
UACGAAGGGGGCUAGCGUUGUUCGGAUUUACUGGGCGUAAAGCGCACGUAGGCGGAUCGUUAAGUCGGGGGUGAAAUCCUGGAGCUCAACUCCAGAACUGCCUUCGAUACUGGCGAUCUUGAGUCCGGAAGAGGUGAGUGGAACUCCUAGUGUAGAGGUGGAAUUCGUAGAUAUUAGGAAGAACACCAGUGGCGAAGGCGGCUCACUGGUCCGGUACUGACGCUGAGACGCGAAAGCGUGGGGAGCGGACAGG